CAAAACGAGGCACGGCACACAGCUCAGUAACACGUGGCUAACCUGCCCUUGGGAUAGGAACAACCCCGGGAAACUGGGGCUAAUUCCCAAUAGGUGAAGAACUCUGGAAUGAGUCUCCACCAGAAAGGACACAUGCGCUAUGCUCGCAUGUUUCGCCCAAGGAUGGGGCCGCGACCGAUCAGGUUGUUGGUGAGGUAAUGGCUCACCAAGCCUUUUACCGGUGCGGGCCGUGGGAGCGGGAGCCCGGAGAUGGGCACUGAGACAAGGGCCCAGGCCCUACGGGGCGCAGCAGUCGCGAAAACUUUGCAAUAAGCGAAAGCUUGACGGGGCUAUCCCGAGUGCCAUCCGCUGAGGAAGGCUUUUACCCAGUCUAGAACGCUGGGGGAAUAAGGAGAGGGCAAGUCUGGUGUCAGCCGCCGCGGUAAUACCAGCUCUCCGAGUGGUGUGGAUGUUUAUUGGGCCUAAAGCAUCCGCAGCUGGCUAAGUUAGUCCCUUGUUAAAUCCACCAAAUUAAUUGUUGGAUUGCGGGGGAUACUGCUUGGCUAGGGGACGAGAGAGGCAGACGGUAUUUUCGGGGUAGGGGUGAAAUCCUAUAAUCCCGGGAAGACCACCAGUGGCGAAGGCUGUCUGCUAGAACGCGCCCGACGGUGAGGGAUGAAAGCUGGGGGAGCGAACCGGAUUAGAUACCCGGGUAGUCCCAGCUGUAAACGAUGCAGACUAGGUGUUUGGACGGCCACGUGCCGUUCUAGUGCCGCAGGGAAGCUGUUAAGUCUGCCGCCUGGGGAGUACGAUCGCAAGAUUGAAACUUAAAGGAAUUGGCGGGGGAGCACCACAAGGGGUGAAGCUUGCGGUUUAAUUGGAGUCAACGCCGGAAAUCUCACCGGGAGCGAUAGCAGUAUGAAGGCCAGAUUAAAGGUCUUGCUAGACGAGCUGAGAGGAGGUGCAUGGCCGUCGCCAGUUCGUGCCGUGAGGUGUCCUGUUUAGUCAGGCAACGAUCGAGACCCGCGUCCUCUGUU
rnacentral:rRNA from 1 species